GGACUCAUAGCUCAGUUGGUUAGAGCACCUGCUUCACACGCAGGGGGUCACUGGUUCGAGUCCAGUUGAGUCCACCA
rnacentral:tRNA from 2 species